rnacentral:sRNA from 1 species
GGAAGUAAAAGUCGUAACAAGGUCUCCGUAGGUGAACCUGCGGAGGGAUCAUUACCGAGCUUCACAGCUUGUUCUUGUCGUGGACUGGUUGCCUUGCCUUCGGGCAGGAUCUCACUCUUGUCUUGUAGUCUGAGUCUUUGUCAACGAAAAAACUUUCAACAACGGAUCUCUUGGUUCUGGCAUCGAUGAAGAACGCAGCGAAAUGCGAUAAGUAAUGUGAAUUGCAGAAUUCCGUGAAUCAUCGAAUCUUUGAACGCACAUUGCGCCCUCUGGUAUUCCGGGGGGCAUGCCUGUUCGAGCGUCAUCAACCCCUCAGCGUAGCUGGUGUUGGGAGCGGCAGUGCCCUCCUCAAACAGAAUGGUGUACGCACGUCCCUCACGCGGAGUCACAUCUCGCGACGGUGGGCGUGUCGUCCUCUUAACUCUUCGUUUGACCUCGGAUCAGGUAGGGAUACCCGCUGAACUUAAGCAUAUCAAUAAGCGGAGGA